rnacentral:tRNA from 1 species
GCGGGAUUGGUGUAACGGCAGCACAGAAGCCUUCCAAGCUUCUAGAGACGGUUCGAAUCCGUUAUCCCGCUCCA